rnacentral:rRNA from 1 species
CAAAAACAUUUCUUCUUAGAAAAUUAAGAGGUAAGCCCUGUUCCAUGAAUAUUAAAUAUCCGCAAAAUUUAAUUGUGCAAAGGUAGCAUAAUAAUUUUCUUCUUAAUUGGAAGAUUGGAUGAAUGGGUAAACAAAAUACUAACUGUGUUUAUGUAAAUUUAAAAUUUUAUGAAAAGGUGAAAAUGCCUUUAAAAUUUAAAGGGACGACAAGACCCUGGGAACUUUAAAUAUUAAAAUUUUCUUAAAUAUUUUAACUGGGGUGGUAAUUAUUUUAAACAAGAAUACAAUAAACAUAUUGUAUGGAUUUCUUAAUCAUAAUUUAAUAAAUUAAGUUACCCCAGGGAUAACAGCACAAUAAUUCUUGAGAGCCCUCAUCUAAGGGACUUGUUGUGACCUCGAUGUUGAAUUAAAUAUACUGUUUAGAGCAGAAAAUAAAUAAAGUGAGUUUGUUCAACUCUUAAAUAUUUACGUGAUCUGA